ensembl:lncRNA
CUGCCUUCACCUGACACCCACGGAUGCUGAUGCCCCUGUCCUGUGCCUGUUGAGUUCAAGGUACAAACGUGCUUGCCUGUGGCUCCACCAGCCUUCAGCUUCCUCGGAAGGAUGUGCAGACACCACUUGCCCAGCUCCCACAGCUCCUCACCUACGCCUCCUCUUCUGUUCCUUUUGUCUUCAAAGGCUUGUACCACAGGGUCUUGCUCUGUUGCCCAGGCUGUAGUGCAGUGGUGGAAUCACAGCUCACUGCAAUCUCGACCUCCCGGGCUCAAGGGAUCCUCCCACCUCAGCCUCCUGAGUAGCUGGGACUACAGUAUCUGCUGUGUUCUUGGUGUCUCCGACAAGACUGUGAGUGGCUUGAAAACACAGAUUGCCUUCGAAUUGUAGAACUAGGAACUGGGGAGGGGCAGGCACAGCAUCUUUGAGAUAACCCAGGAGCCACGACAGAGAUGGGGAAAUGAGGGCAGAGAGACCGGCCCAACCUGGGAGGCCUCAGCGCAAGCAGGACUGUGGGCUCUGACGGUGCCUCAGAAGUGAAUCAGCACCACUGCCUUCUGUCCUUGGGAUACUCCACUGAGCGCAACCGUGGGACACGCCAACAGCCAAGCGGGGCCCUCAGCCCGGCCUUGCCCUGCAGGCACUCACAGCAGGACAGACACGGCUGGAAGGAGGCGUUCUCCAAAGGAAACUGGCGCUGUGCGGACACAGGCAGGUGGGUGCUGAGCCGUGAGGACCUGGUAGGUACCUCCUCCACUCCCUACCUGACCCUGCCUGGCUCCCAGGCAGACCCCUGCGGCCUCAGCAUUCAAGGCAGGCCCAGGUGGGGGCCCCGGCUGGGGUCAUUUGCCUCAGCCUGAACGUCUACCCCGAAUGUUUCAGUGUUCCCUCAGCCUCACUCCCAGGGCUCCCGGUAAGGCCUCGCCCAGCAGUGGGCAUUUAUCCUCUCUGAACUGCCUGUCCUGAGCUGAAACACACUGUCAGUGAGGGCCCACUCUCCCCGCAGCCCCAGCCCGCACAGUCAGCAUAGUCCUGGCUGCUGUGGCCUUUUCAUCACAAACACCUUCAUUAGUUAGCUGGGCUAACAGCAUUAUCCUUAGAGGGGUCUGGAAACCCAGCGUCACUCUGUGUGUGGACUGACAUUGGACCCUGCGUUUUGUGGCCCAUGACCUUUAACUUUGACAUGGCCUUUGAGGUCUGACAUGUCCACUGAGCCAGACCUCUGUUGACUUCAGCACCUUCUGCUUUUACGGAGCCAAAAUUGAUGAUCUGUUGCAGCAAUAUUUGACAUCUUGGUUUUAGGUUUCUUCAUCCACCCUUGGUCCUAACCCACAGGUUUCUAGGAGCUGUGCCCUAACCCACAGAAAAACACAGAGAUGUAACUCAUGUUACAAAAAUGUUACUAAGAUCAUAUUUUUAAAAAUGAAUCUGGGCCAGGCGUGGGGACUCACACCUGUAAUCCCAGCACUUUGAGAGGCCAAGGUGGGCCGAUAACUUGAGGUCAGGAGUUCGAGAGCAGCCUGGGCAACAUGGUGAAACCCCGUCUCCACUAAAAAUACAAAAAUUAGCCAGGUGUGGUGGUACAUGCCUGUAAUCCCAGCUACUCAGGAGGCUGAGCAGGAGAAUAGCCUGAACCCGGGAGGCGGAGGUUACAGUGAGCUGAGAUCGCACCACUGCACUCCAGCCUGGGAGACAGAGCAAGACUCAAAAACCUGAAUCACAUCACUCUCAGCUUGUAUCCUUAAUGCAUUCCCCCGGCUGUGGU